GUGUCAGCCGCCGCGGUAAUACGUAGGGGGCAAGCGUUGUCCGGAUUUAUUGGGCGUAAAGCGCUCGCAGGUGGUUCGAUGCGUCGUGCGUGAAAGCCCCCGGCUCAACUGGGGAGUGUCGUGCGAUACGGUCGGACUGGAGGCCAGUAGGGGGAUGCGGAAUUCCGGGUGUAGUGGUGGAAUGCGUAGAGAUCCGGAGGAACACCAGCGGCGAAGGCGGCAUCCUGGACUGGUCCUGACACUCAUGAGCGAAAGCGUGGGGAGCGAUCCGGAUUAGAUACCCGGGUAGUCCACGCUGUAAACGAUGUGCACUAGGUGUCGGGGGUAUCGACCCCCUCGGUGCCGCAGCCAACGCGAUAAGUGCACCGCCUGGGGACUACGGCCGCAAGGCUAAA
rnacentral:rRNA from 1 species